rnacentral:rRNA from 1 species
CCUACGGGGGGCAGCAGUGAGGAAUAUUGGUCAAUGGCCGGAAGGCUGAACCAGCCAUGCCGCGUGAAGGUCAGUGCCCUAUGGGCGUUAAACUUCUUUUGUUCGGGAGCAAUAAUGGUCACGUGUGGCCAGACUAGAUUACCGUACGAAUCAGCAUCGGCUAACUCCGUGCCCGCAGCCGCGGUAAUACGGGGGAUGCAAGGGUUAUCCGGAUUUAUUGGGUUUAAAGGGGGCGUAGGCGGAAUGUCACGUCAACGGUAAAAUCGCGGGGCUAAACCUCGAACCGCCAUUGAAACUGGCGGGCUUGAGUGGGCGAGAAGUAGGCGGAAUGCGUGGUGUAGCGGUGAAAUGCAUAGAUAUCACGCAGAACUCCGAUUGCGAAGGCAGCAUACCGGAGCACAACUGACGCUGAAGCACGAAAGCGUGGGUAUCGAACAGGAUUAGAUACCCGAGUAGUC